CACAAAUGUGUACAGCUGCCCCAUGCUCUCUUUCAGAUUUUUCAGCUGAAGGAAGUCGAGGAGAUCAAUGGGAGAUUUUCCUGCAAAAUCAUCCAUGGCAUACAUGACAGUCAGUUCUGUUCUCAGCCGAGAUGGAAAAGUGUUCCGUGGCUCUGGGAUAAGCUGGAAGAGACUACAUGUGGGAAAUUUCUCUGGUAUUCCUGAAACUUCUGGGGAUCGAGGAGGGUGACAAAGAUCAGUUUUUCGUGGUCUUGAAAUCUGUGUCUGGCAAAUAAUAUUGUCCAGAAUCCUGCCGUGGAGUUGGCGGUAGUGCGCGUGAGGAUCUUGCACUGGACCUCUUCGUGCGCUCGCAGCGCCCGUGGUGCGUUCAGUGGCCUCGUAGAUUUCCUCGUAUUGGCUUCUCUCUCGCUCAACGGUGUCACAGAACUCCUUUACCCUUGCCAGACAAAACUGUACAUCCAGUUUUUUGUUCUUCAGUAUUGAAAAGAGCACAUUUGAGUACUCAAAAAUGCAGUUAAAUGUGUAAUCAAAAAACAAAACUCAAAAUCAUCCAAACGUGCGUUAAAUCUAUCAGCACAGAGUCCUCAUCAUACUCGUCAUGAUGCUCCAGAAUGUGAUGAAACAGUUCCUUUAGAGCAUCUUUCUUCUCAAAGACUGUAUUGACCACUCUGGAUGUGUACGGCCACCGUGUUGGUGCCACGCGAGGGAGACGUCGCUGCAGAUUUCAUCCAGUAGUUGCGUGCGUCGAGGCGAUCUUGAAAAAAAUGCAACAAGGCCAUUGAGGUGGGCGAAAAAGAUCUUGCAUUCUUUAAGCUUUGAGGCCCCCUGAGUCAAUACUAAAUUGAGCCUAUGUGCAUAGCAGUGUAUGAAUAAAGUCAAAGGUGCUCUCUCCUUAACUUUAGCCUGCACCCCAUUUAAUCCAGAAGACAUGACCGCUGUGCCAUCAAAACACUGUGCCACAACUUUACUCAGACAUUCGUUUUCCACCAAAAACCGGAUAAUGAGACAUGCAUUGUCAUCGGCUCGCUUCCCACUGGUAACAUCUUCAAAUCUGACAAACCACUCCUUGACACCUGUGUCCGUUACAUAACGCAGAACCAGUGCGAGCUGCGCUGCGUUACUCGCGUCUGUCGUCUCAUCCACCACAACAGACACAAACAGAGCUUUAUUAACUUCCCUUCUGAUCUCCUCCAUCACUUCAGCAACAGCACUGAUCAGCUCGUUUUGUAUUUUCCCCAACGUCCCACUAAACCCUUUAUUAGUGGACAGGUGGUAAAUCCGUGUCGCUGUCAGCAAUUACAGAAAGAAGCUCCACGUAGUUUCCUCUGUUUGUGGAUCCAGCGCUUUCAUCGUGACCCCGAAAUGAAAGUUACUGCUUGCCCAAAAAAUUUACACAGCCUAUCAGUUUUUUCAAGAUUUCCCUGUUUUUCUUCACCUUUUCGUUAUGGAGCUCCGUUUCCCUGCACACUUGCUCAGCUGUAGAUCCACUCUGGUUUCUCCAAAGGUUUUGGAGAGCACCGUUGCUUGAAAGUGUCUGGGGGUGCUUUGAUGCCUCGUUGCUGCCUUGGUAAAGCAAGACAAAUUCUCAAAUCCAGUGUGGCUCCAAGCACCAUGCCGAUCAGAGGCAAAUAACAAGCACUCCAAGCAAUACAAUUUACAGCGUUCCUCGGAGCCAAGUGUACCGCUCGUAGCUAGUGGACUGAAAGUGGCGGACAAAUCCUUUUCCUGGUUGUGACAAGCUUGGGAGCUUCGGAGUUGCCCGACCUUGCUUAACAAUGUCCAGCUUUUCUUGAAAAGUCUGUCUUGAAAAUGGCUUUGACAGUAAGUCUGCAACCAAAUCCAUUUCUUCUCCUCCUUCAGCCAUUGUGGGUUGAUAAAACAGCUAUUAAAUUUGAUAUAUUUGUUUGUGCAGCUCGCUGAGUCGCUACAGAUGCAGUUUGCUAGCUCUGGCUAGUACACUCUCUGACUAUACAAUCAACGCGUGUGAAAAUGCUGAUGUUUCCGUGCGCCUGCUAGAGGGCCUUGGUGUCGCCUACUCCAAAUCUGAUUGGUUGAAGCAACAGUUUGGUCGACAUUUAUUUUUUGCUACAGGGCCCACAGAACUGAUUGUGAAGGCCUCCAGACAGAUUUCUUUGACCCUAGCAACAAAUAGUGCUGAAAUGUGAUUGGUUAAAUGCUUGGCUUCGGAGAACUGGCAAGAUGGCCCCUGUGUUCGGCUCAGCCACUGCCAGCAGGAGUUUUCCACAGAAAUUACCGACUCUUUUUAUUUCUGUUCUCUUGGUUUUAUUUUAUGUGAACUGUGUUUUAGCUGCUUUAAUUUGUGACCAUUGUACACUGCUGUCUAUCGGACUGUCGCUGAUUGGAAAAGAUACCUCGUCUCCCUGCGCCGCCGUUCUCCGCUCCCUGUGUCCGGCGUCUCCAGAAGGUUCCCAGACUGUAGCCUUUCCGGGACUUCGUCGACCUCGGUGGAAAAGGAGAGGGAAAAGAUCUGGCGUCCAGGUGAAAAUCCGACUGCGGUGGAAACGCGGGGCUUCCAGAAGACGUCGCCGAGCAUUCCUGGCUAGCUGGCAGCGGGACUCCGAUCACUCAUCUCUCAUCGAACUCUGCCCGGCUGGAUUCUCCUUCAUCUGUCGGCCUCUGCCAUCGGGUCGCGGAGGGGGAGUCGCCGCGGUGUUCCGGAGUCGUCUCAUGUGCCGCUCAGUUGGAGGACUGCAGUUUGUCAAAGAUCAGCUGUGAAUUUCUGGGUUUGGUUCUGAAGAACAAUCCGUCCAGACUGAAACAACUGGACCUGAGUGACAACAAAAUCCAGGAUUCAGGAUUUCUUCAUCUGUGUGGUUUUCUGGAGAGUCCAGACUGCAAACUGCAGAUUUUGGGGUUGAUCAACUGCAGUUUGUCAAAGACCAGCUGUGCUGCUCUGGGAUCAACUCUCAAGUUCAACCCAUCCCACCUGACAGAACUGGACCUGAGAUACAAUGACCUUCAGUCUUCAGAUGUUCAGCAGCUCCGGGAUCUGGUGAAGAGUCCAAACUUCAAACUGCUGACUCUGAGAUGGGAGGGAGAAGCUAUUUUCCUUUUCAAAUGAUCAACCAGAGAGAAUCAUCAUCAUCAUCAUCUGGUCUGCAGAGAUGUUGUUCCUGGAGGUGGAGAGCAGAGUGAUGGAGGAAUCAGAUGAAGUGGAGAUGAGUGUCAGAGCUGCAGCAUGAACUGAUCUGAGAUCAGCUCCACUGUCUCUCUCAGCAUCAAGUGAACAAUUACUAUGCUGCAGCUCCCCCGGUGGACUGAUGGAGAACUGCACUUCAUCUUCUCAUUCUAACUUGGAGUGUUGGGAAGUCUUCUGCUUCUCUUCUCUCUCGUAUUUGGAGCUUCUCUUAACUUUGUCCACACACUCUUGCUGUAGUUUUCUCCUCAUGUGUCCUGAAACUGUUUCUCUGAAUGAUCUGUGUUGGUGAUUCAUCAGAUUCCAGCAGUUCUGGCCUCAGGAUUCUCCAUCUGGGAGCAUUUUUGGUUCUUCUUUUUCAUCUUUAUCAGACCUUUCAGAACCACAAAGUGGACUGAGUUCCUCUGAUUAAAGGCUGCUGGGUUUUGUAUUUUGUUCAUUAUUUUACAGGAUGUUGUUCUAUUGUAACCAUGGUAACCGUGGGAACCGCACUCCUGUUAACCGCAGUCCUGAAGCAGAAAUCCCACCAGAACUAACAAAAGUCUCUCAGUCGAAUCAUUUUUAUAUCAUCUCUGUUCUGUUGAUGAUAAAAUAUUGACUCAUGCA